UUGUGCUGCUUGUGAGAGAUCAACAGACUCCAGCUGGAGGCUGAGGUCCACGCCCCGAUGAAAUGACUCCACCUUCACUGAGUGAAUGAUGAGCGAGCAGCAGAGCUCCGUGUAAUGAAGGCCAGGCCACACAAAUCCACAGACAAGAGGUCCUGCAGGGCUGUAAUGAUGCAGAGAUGCAGAAAAUGUUCGUCUUCUCCUUUAGUUUAUGAAGUAGAGCAGGGAGACAUUAUGAUCUGAAGAAACAAACGUGUGGUUUUACACUGAGCACAUUGUUCUCUCCAGGGACACGGAUGACCUGAUGCUGACCUCACAUGACAAAAGAAAUCAUUAAAGCGCCGUGAAGAGGUGAAGACGUCACAGAGAGGUCCUUAUGCACCCACACUGUAAGCCUGCAGCCUCCAUGCAGUGACGGGAUGGUGCUCCAGAAGGUCGAGGACGGAAUGAUAGCUAGUCAAAUUGUGCUGUAUCAGUUGGCUAUUUUUACAAGAGUCUUUCUAAGUACCCACCCGCUACACCAACACACUGUUCUCACUUCCUCCUCUUAAUGGAUGACACUUAAAAAAUAAAAGAUAUUUUUUUUCUCUCUUCAA